GGGGAAUUUUCCGCAAUGGGCGAAAGCCUGACGGAGCAAGACCGCGUGAGGGAGGAAGGCUCUUGGGUUGUAAACCUCUUUUCUUGGGGAAUAAAAAAAUGAAGGUACCCAAGGAAUCAGCAUCGGCUAACUCCGUGCCAGCAGCCGCGGUAAUACGGAGGAUGCAAGCGUUAUCCGGAAUUAUUGGGCGUAAAGCGUCCGCAGGUGGCACUUCAAGUCUGCUGUCAAAGACCGGGGCUUAACCCUGGAAAGGCAGUGGAAACUGAAGCGCUAGAGUGUCGUAGGGGUAGAGGGAAUUCCUGGUGUAGCGGUGAAAUGCGUAGAGAUCAGGAAGAACAUCGGUGGCGAAAGCGCUCUACUGGACGACAACUGACACUCAGGGACGAAAGCUAGGGGAGCGAAUGGGAUUAGAUACCCCAGUAGUCCUAGCCGUAAACGAUGGAUACUAGGUGUGGCUUGUAUCGACCCGAGCCGUGCCGUAGCUAACGCGUUAAGUAUCC
rnacentral:rRNA from 1 species